rfam:Triticum aestivum genome assembly, contig: Triticum_aestivum_CS42_TGACv1_scaffold_375390_5AL
UUUAUACUUCCUCCGUCCGGAAAUACUUGUCAUCAAAAUGAAUAAAAGGGGAUGUAUCUAGAUGUAUUUUAGUUUUAGAUACAUCCCUUUUUGUCCAUUUUGAUGACAAGUAUUUUCGGACGGAGGGAGUAAGAU